CCCUUAGAUGUUCUGGGCUGCACGCGCGCUACACUGACACACUCAACGAGUUUCAUCCUUCCUUGACGGAGACGUCUGGGUAAUCUGUGAAUAUGUGUCGUGAUGGGGAUAGAUCAUUGCAAUUAUUGAUCUUCAACGAGGAAUUCCUAGUAAACGCACGUCAUCAGCGUGCAUUGAUUACGUCCCUGCCCUUUGUACACACCGCCCGUCGCACCUACCGAUUGAAUGGUCCGGUGAGAUCUCGGGACGGCGGCUUGGUCGCUUGCGUCCGACUGCUGAAACUUGAUUAAACCAUAUCAUUUAGAGGAAGGUGAAGUCGUAACA
rnacentral:rRNA from 1 species